GACGAACGCUGGCGGCGUGCCUAAUACAUGCAAGUCGAGCGGAUCUUUAGGAGCUUGCUCCUGAAGAUUAGCGGCGGACGGGUGAGUAACACGUGGGCAACCUGCCUGUAAGACUGGGAUAACACCGGGAAACCGGUGCUAAUACCGGAUAAUUCUUUUCCUCACAUGAGGGAAAGCUGAAAGUCGGUUUCGGCUGACACUUACAGAUGGGCCCGCGGCGCAUUAGCUAGUUGGUGAGGUAACGGCUCACCAAGGCGACGAUGCGUAGCCGACCGGAGAGGGUGAGCGGCCACACUGGGACUGAGACACGGCCCAGACUCCUACGGGAGGCAGCAGUAGGGAAUCUUCCGCAAUGGACGAAAGUCUGACGGAGCAACGCCGCGUGAGUGAUGAAGGCCUUCGGGUCGUAAAACUCUGUUGUUAGGGAAGAACAAGUAUCGGAGUAACUGCCGGUACCUUGACGGUACCUAACCAGAAAGCCACGGCUAACUACGUGCCAGCAGCCGCGGUAA
rnacentral:rRNA from 1 species